rnacentral:rRNA from 1 species
AGAAUCAACGCUGGCGGCGUGCCUAACACAUGCAAGUCGAACGAGAAAGUGGGAGCAAUCCCACGAGUAAAGUGGCGCACGGGUGAGUAACACGUGACUAACCUACCCUUGAGUGGGGGAUAACCUAGGGAAACCUGGGCUAAUACCGCAUAAUACCUACGGGUCAAAGGAGCAAUUCGCUUAAGGAGGGGUCGCGGCAGAUUAGUUAGUUGGCGGGGUAAUGGCCCACCAAGACAGUGAUCUGUAU